AGAAAUUGUUUUAAGAUUUACUGAGUAAGUCUAUGAAAUGUAACAAUGUAAUCAUGUCCAAUUUAUUUCUCUAAUGAAAAGAUAGUUUCCCAAAGCCAGACUUGUAAAAAUGAAUGUUUCUACCCUUUCUUUUUCUGACAGGAGGAGCUAGAACACAGUUAAAGCAGAGAAAUUGCAGCACAGAUUCAUCUUCUUUGUGGGAGAGAGAUCCCAGAUAAAAUUCAGAAAAUUUAGUGAGAGUAGCAGAACAAAUAAAAUAUUAUAUGAGUGACAAUGAUUUCAGCUUUCCUUCUAAUAUGAAAAGACAGCUGAAUUGAGGCACUUGGGCCACCCACUGCUGGAAGAAAAAUGCUUGAAUCCUCAGUACCUUUGAUUCGCUGGUUUGUGGAGGUGAGAAUGUAGCUCUCACAGCAUGUACUAGAGAAGUGGUCCCUAUUCUUCACCUGUUUCCUCUUCCUCCAUUAUUUACUGAGUGACUUGACCUGUGAUAAUAUAAACACAAGAAGGGCUCCAGAAGUCAUGGAUAAGUAUUGGCUGAUGGUGAUAAAAAGCUUUCCUAUAAGAAAUUCCACUUUGGUUCCCAAAAAGACAUCCCAAAGGAAAGUACACUACAAGAAGACUAUGCAUGAUACAAACCUAAAAGACAAGAGUAACAAGGAUGACGCUGAUAAGGGAGGCUCUGGUCAAAUGAUAAAGGACCUGUGUUCCAUGCUAAGGAAACAGAAAGUAUUGAGGGUUUGAGCAGUGUAGAAAAUGAUCAAAUCUAUGUUCUGAAAUCACUCUGGUGCCUAGGAUAGUGGAUAAGAGUUUGGAGAAAUGAGAGACUGGAGGAAUAAUUUGGAAGUCAAAACAGGAGCUUCAACAGCCAGAGUUGGAAAUAUAGAUGUUCUAAUGGGGAAGGGAGAGAAGAAAUGGCAAGAUCUAUUUUCAGCUAUCUUUGCAAGGUGACAAAAGUCAAAGCGGUCGAAUCCUCUGGAAUCUUGUAUAUUUCUAUCCUACAGGAUGCUAUGCUCACAUACUGUUGACUGAAGCUUUAUGUAAUAAAGCCUCAGCAUAAAAAAGCA
rnacentral:lncRNA from 1 species